GUUGACCUCGGAUCAGGUAGGAAUCC
rnacentral:rRNA from 2 species